AUGGAUGAUCUCUCCGGGACCAGUCUCUCCCACCGGCCGUAUACUCUCUCCCAACAAUCACCUGCAAAUAGCAAAGAGCACAGCAAAAAUAAUUUGACCUCCCUCUCACGGCCCGACGAUCUUCACUCGCACUUUCUUGGCGUGCAUCUCGGCGAACUCGGUCUCCGAUACCUCCGAGUUGGACGACGACGUGAGGUGCCUCACCGAGUGGCGGUCGUCGCCGGCGUGGCGCGACCCUGCGACGCCGCCGCACGCCGCCGAGGCGAGCACGAGCAGUGCCAUGGCCGUCGACAGGGCGGCGAGCGCGGCCCACGUCGCCCGCGCGCCGCGCCGCAGCGGCGCGCACUGGUUGCCCACGAUGUCCGCGAAGCCGGCCUUCACCAGCUCGCAGCUCACCAGCCGCUCCGUGCCCGGGAAGAUGUCCAGCACGUUCUGGAUGGAGCUCGUGUACGUCUGCACCUUGUCGUAGUCGAUCGCCGACGAGAGCUCGGCCGGCGCGCAGUUGGCGCCACCGCCCAACUCCGAGCACGUCAGCCUCCUCAGGAUCUUCACAACAACAACGUUCAAGAUUAG
rnacentral:rRNA from 1 species